GACGUAGGGCGCAAGCGUUGUCCGGAUUUAUUGGGCGUAAAGAGCUCGUAGGCGGUCUGCCACGUCCGCUGUGAAAACCUAGGGCUUAACCCUGGGCUUGCAGUAGAUACGGGCAGACUAGAGGUAGGUAGGGGAGAAUGGAAUUCCCGGUGUAGCGGUGAAAUGCGCAGAUAUCGGGAGGAACACCGGUGGCGAAGGCGGUUCUCUGGGCCGAUAUUGACGCUGAGGAGCGAAAGCGUGGGGAGCGAACAGG
rnacentral:rRNA from 1 species